AUCAACAUUUUAACAGAUAACAAUCUAUAGUUUUGUAUUAUGUGCCCUGACCCUUGCAUUAUGAUGUUGCUGCAAUUCUAGGUGCACAGAUGGUCUUCAUUUCCACUGACACUAAUAACAGCAACAACCACAGCCAAGACCCACCUUGGAAAAAAAUAAUUAAAGGUCAAGAGUCAAGUUACUUUUAGUGUUUCCAGGCUUGUAGCAUAGGUCCUCGAUGUCUUAGUUUCCAUAUCAGUAAAAGAAGCUAUUUUCUAGUUCAAAUUGGGAUCUAUUUUAAGCUUGAAAGAGCAGCUUAUGUCAUGGCUUCAGGUUAUUUCUUUUCUUCAGAGAUAUUCUUUCUGAAGAAAUUUUCCUUUUAAAGUGCCCGAGACCACAUCUCUGUACGCCAUUUCUUUUCAUCAAGAUGGUGAUUUUGUGGGGAAUACUGGAGUGAUGGAGCAAAGGAAACAUUUCAAGCCCUAGAACAGAUGAAGAAGAGCAGGAAAACUGUCUUGCAUCAGGAUCUGGAGUGCAGAGGAAAGAGCCAGGGGUGGGAGGCAGAAUUGAAGAUAUGUGUUAAGCAAACACAAAAUCUCAUUCUAUUAAAGAAGUUAGUUAAAAAGUUUGGAAGAAAUUUAGAUGUGGGCACAUUCUCAUCAACUACCUUGGACUCAGACCAGAAAACAUGCCCUGAAGGACUUCACUGUUUCAGCACCAGAACUCCUUCCCCUCAUGAAGUCCCUGUUGUUCUUUUUGAUUGAUUUCAUUUCAUCUCUCCAAGUCUCCUUGGAGUCUCCUGCUUUUUCACCAUCCAUCAUCUUUACAAUCCCUUGACGACAAAUGUUCAAGCAAUGG